rnacentral:rRNA from 1 species
AGUGAACGCUGGCGGUAGGCCUAACACAUGCAAGUCGAACGGCAGCACAGUAAGAGCUUGCUCUUACGGGUGGCGAGUGGCGGACGGGUGAGGAAUACAUCGGAAUCUACUUUUUCGUGGGGGAUAACGUAGGGAAACUUACGCUAAUACCGCAUACGACCUACGGGUGAGAGCAGGGGAUCUUCGGACCUUGCGCGAUUGAAUGAGCCGAUGUCGGAUUAGCUAGUUGGCGGGGUAAAGGCCCACCAAGGCGACGAUCCGUAGCUGGUCUGAGAGGAUGAUCAGCCACACUGGAACUGAGACACGGUCCAGACUCCUACGGGAGGCAGCAGUGGGGAAUAUUGGACAAAGGGCGCAAGCCUGAUCCAGCCAUACCGCGUGGGUGAAGAAGGCCUUCGGGUUGUAAAGCCCUUUUGUUGGGAAAGAAAAGCAGCAGGUUAAUACCCCGCUGUUCUGACGGUACCCAAAGAAUAAGCAACGGCUAACUUCGUG